UCGCUACCGUUCCCGGGAGCCGCACACGGCCGGGCCCGCUCAGCUGCUCCAGCUGAGGCAGCGCCACCUCAGGCCCCCUAGAAGGGAGAAACUUCAAAAAAGUGAUGAACAUCCGCUUCUUUGAUCUCCGCACUUGCAAGGGAGGCAAGCUGGUCGCAGACAGCAGAGGUUUGCAAGACAGUUACAAUGCGCAUCUGCAAAUGCACACAGACUCCUUUAACUGUGCUUGAGGAGGAUUAAAAUGAGCAGCUGGAAUACAAGUCCAGGCUGACAAACAGGAAACAAGCUGUCAAUGAAGGAUGUAAAAUUCAGUAAGCAAAACAGUUAUGUAAAAAGCAAGACACAUAUUUCAGUUCAUCCUUGCGUUAACGACCUGAUAGAUAUCUUUUUACACUCCCAAGUCGUCAAGCACAAGAAUUGUAUUUAGAUGUAGGAUCUCUCUCCUAUGCCUGUUCUCACAAGGGCCUUACAUCUAACACCUUAUUUAAUGACGGAUAAGCCACUGUUCCAGUAACUAGAAAUAUCAAGCCAACAGGAGCUAGGACCAGGCCAAACAGGACAACUUCACUUGACUGGCACAAGUGGAAUUCACACAGCCUUUGGCUUUCUUCAGAUGGAAGAACAGUUUUGUGAGGAAUACUCUCAACUGUUCUAGUUGCAGAAAUAAAGCCCAAAACUGAAGGUUAUGUCAGGUUAUUUCAGACAAAGGCUCAAAUUUACCAUACUCUGUGGAAUUGAACACAUUGCCUGAAAUGUGCCUUGAGACCAUCACCUGAAAAGAAGGAUGCAAUCCUGCUGCUUCCUUAGACCACAGGGCUGGUGCAUUUUGGUCUGUCACCUCUUCUCAUUUGUGAAGAUCAUCCAGACAGGAAUCUUUCAUAUGAGAGAGACUCAAAACGUACUUUGUAGGAAAUCUGAUUUUAAAGUCAGGAUAUGCCUUAAGUGAUGCCAGUUUUUUAAUGCCUCUAACUACUGGAUUUAUGCAAGACAAGCAACUCUUGGAUUUUACACCAAACCAUCUCCAUCUCCCCUUCAAGCCCUAAGUCAGGAACUGCUGUUGCAACCUUAUCCGUGGUAUUACAGGGACUGAGUGGUUUAUCUGUAGUCCUGCUCAACAUCAGAGCCUUAGGACAUUUUUUGGAAUAUCUUUGUUGUCAAUGCCAAGCGCAAAAACGGAUACAGAUGCUGCAUUUAUCUACUGGUGCCAUCAGACAAUGACAUUAUAUAAUUCAGAGUUUUUUUGGGGAUUUCUUAAAUGUAAAAUUCAAUGGAAAAGUAUGUACACUACCAAGUGUCCAAAAUCACACAACUUGUAAAACACAGUGACUGGUCUCUUUAAAAUACAUCUCAUGUCCUGAAGAAUCCACUCUGCCUACUUCAUUCACACAGCAUUCUACUACUGAUGAGCUUGCUGCAUAUCACAGCAAGUUUUGUACUUGUCUGUGUUUUUGUUGUACAAUAACCAAAGCUGCACAAGUACAACAAAUUUGAAGUUAUCAUCCAACCUCUGAAAAUAUUGAUUCUAAAGACUAUAAGCCAGGAACUUUGCAGCAUUAACAUAUUCAAAUGCUUGUAGAUAAACAACAGAAAAUUGAUCUUUAAUUAAAUUUAUAUUAGAAUGUAGCAAGUUUUUGAUAUCUAGAACAGGUACAGCUGGUAGGAAUCAAUAUCAGAACAGUGGUUAAGACACAGUAUUAAAGCCAAACUCAACUGCUAAGCAGUAGUGACAACCUCCAUCUUCACACAAACCUCAGGGUUUACCAGAUGCGCAGGGAAAGCUGAUAAAGGUCUCCACACAAGUAAGAACUGCCCAGUGGGUAACUGGUAAUUCCUCAGCAGCAGUUACCUGAACCACAAUGCAAAUGCAUUCACAGAAUUGAUGAGAGGCAUAAAUUUGGUGCAAUACACAGCAGCACUCAGCUCCAGCCUGCUCUGCUGCUGGAGUGAUAAGAACCCAGACAGGACUGGAACCUGACAACUGGGGUAAACUACAGAGUUAAUGAAACUGCACCACACAGCAGAGAGAAGGAAAAA